rnacentral:lncRNA from 1 species
UUACCCAAUACCCGGUAAUAGUAAUUUAUUCCCUCUUAUUUUCCUCAGUGGAUUCGUUUCACGUUUCCCCAGGUAGUCUAUCCUUGAUAUGUCCAUCCUAACCGGUGACAGAUAUUCUCCUCUUUUUUUUUCUACCCAGUAAAAAGGUAGUCAUAAUCCCUAUUUCAUUCCCCAGAGAGUUAAUCCUUGAUAUGUUCAUCCUAACCGAUGACAAUUC